GAUGAACGCUAGCUACAGGCUUAACACAUGCAAGUCGAGGGGCAGCGGGAUUGAAGCUUGCUUCAAUUGCCGGCGACCGGCGCACGGGUGAGUAACGCGUAUCCAACCUUCCGUACACUCAGGGAUAGCCUUUCGAAAGAAAGAUUAAUACCUGAUGGUAUGAUGAGAUUGCAUGAUAGCAUCAUUAAAGAUUUAUCGGUGUACGAUGGGGAUGCGUUCCAUUAGGUAGUAGGCGGGGUAACGGCCCACCUAGUCUUCGAUGGAUAGGGGUUCUGAGAGGAAGGUCCCCCACAUUGGUACUGAGACACGGACCAAACUCCUACGGGAGGCAGCAGUGAGGAAUAUUGGUCAAUGGCCGAGAGGCUGAACCAGCCAAGUCGCGUGAAGGAAGAAGGAUCUAUGGUUUGUAAACUUCUUUUAUAGGGGAAUAAAGUGGAGGACGUGUCCUUUUUUGUAUGUACCCUAUGAAUAAGCAUCGGCUAACUCCGUGCCAGCAGCC
rnacentral:rRNA from 1 species